UUCAAGUUGGCCCAAAUAAAUAGGCAUUUUUUUAAUGCUAAUUAGUGUGUGUGUUUAAUUAGAAAUUGACACCACAUCUUUUGAUUUGGGUGAAUCACAAAAACUGAAACGGUGGUGCAGAGAAAAGAAGGAGAGGGUCAGCUGCUGUUAUCAUCAAUUCAGAGUCAGAAUUGAGAGAUUGAGUGGCAACGUAACUCCAUUUUGUGAAAGGUGAGUGCAGAUUUUCAGCUUGGUGCAGUUCUAUUCGAGGCUUCGAUCGGGUAUUCAUCCGUGGUCUGAUUGAGCUGAAAUUCGGACAGUGGGUAGUCGACUUGAAGAUCUUGAUAUUGUACGGUGGGAUUGUUGAUCCGUGAACAGUAAGGUCAGAUUUUCUGGUGUUGAAGUCUGCCCCUGUUUUAGUGAUUUUCUCAUCUUGUUUUGGGUAUUUUGCUUAAGAUUGUUUUAUCAACCUAGUUGGAGUUUAUACUUGUUGUAGAGGUUGGAUAUUUGAUCUUGUAGCAAAAACAUAUUAUAGUGGAGAUUUUGAGUGGACUCUCAAGUCCCGUGGUUUUUCCCUUUUGCUUCGAAAGGGUUUUCCACGUAAAAAUCGUUGUCUCAGUUUAUAUUUCUGC